AAUCAACGCUGGCGGCGUGCCUCAGACAUGCAAGUCGAACGCGAAAGUCCCCUUCGGGGGACAAGUAGAGUGGCGCACGGGUGAGUAACACGUAGGUAAUCCACCUUCGGAUGGGGAAUAACAACCGGAAACGGUUGCUAAUACCGCAUAAUGCAGCGGCACCUAAUGGUGACAGUUGUUAAAGCGGGGAUCGAAAGACCUCGCGUCUGAAGAGGAGCCUGCGGCGGAUUAGCAGUUGGUAAGGUAACGGCUUACCAAGGCGACGAUCCGUAGCCGGCCUGAGAGGGGCGGUCGGCCACACUGACACUGACAUACGGGUCAGACUCCUACGGGAGGCAGCAGUCGGAAUUUGGGCAAUGGGCGAAAGCCUGACCCAGCAACGCCG
rnacentral:rRNA from 1 species